rnacentral:rRNA from 1 species
AUGUGCUCUCAAAAUCGUGCCUCUGUGGUAUGCCUUCAGGAAACUAAGCUCUCCGCUGUGGAUCGUCCGUUGAUCCUUGACCUCCUCGGUUCUGAGUUUGCGGAUUCCUUCUGUUUCUUACCCGCUGAUGGCAUGCGAGGUGGCAUCAUCUUGGCUUUCUCUGCUGACCACUUCACCAUUACUAACUCCAGUUCUUCCACAAACACCAUCUCGGCUUCUGUCUCUAUGCGUGCCUCCCUCGCCUCCUGGAGCAUCUCGGUGGUCUAUGGGCCACAGGCCGAUGCUGAUAAAUUUGAGUUCAUCUCCGAGCUGAAGGACCUGAAAGCAAGCAUGCUUGCUCCUUGGAUCCUUCUGGGCGAUUUUAACCUCCUUUGUCGGGUCGGCGACAAAAGCAGCGGCACUGUCAACCGCCGGCUGAUUAAUUCUUUUCGAGCGGCGCUCAAUGUACUGGAGGUGGAUGAGUUGCGCCUUCAUGGCCGCAGGUUCACCUGGGCCAGCACCUGUCAUCAGCAAACUCAGACCAAGAUUGAUCACGUCUUCUGCACGACUGAUUGGAGUUUGCUCUUCCCUCAAUGCCACUUGCGAGCUGCCUCAACUUCUAUUUCCGACCAUUGUGCAAUGAUCCUGACCGGCCAAGUCUCCCAGUCAAGCUACAAAGGUUUUCGGUUCGAAAAUUACUGGCUAAAGAUUAGGGACUUCCGCGAGGCUGUCAUAGACUCUUGGCAAGCUCCUGUCACUCACAGCGAUGCUAUGUGGCGUCUCAACUUCAAGCUUUCCAGACUUGCCCGGGCCCUUCGUCGAUGGAGCCGCUCCCGGGUGGGAAACAUUGCCCUGCUCUCCACGAUUGCCGAGCAAGUGAUCUUGGCCCUGGACUUUGCACAGGACGCUAGGGAUCUGACAAUUGCUGAACUUGGCCUGCGGCUUUUCCUCCGUCAAAAGCUUCUUGGACUGGCGGCUGUGCAGUGCAUCCGAAUCAGGCAAAGAUCUCGCAUUCUUUGGCUAAGUCCCAAUCACGCCAAGUCCAAGUUGUUUCACAUCAAAGCCAAUGGCCGCAGAAGACGCAAUUUCAUCCCUAUGCUUGAAACUGACUCUGGGCAGCUCACUCUUCAAUCUGACAAGCAGGCUGAGUUCCUGCGGCACUUCAAGAGCUCGAUUGGCACUGCUCCGGCUAGGCAUCGCUCCUUCAAUUGGGCUUCUUUGGGGAUCCCUUCUGUUGACCUGUCGGCCCUCAAAGGAGAGUUCUCUGAGCCUGAAAUUAAGGCCACUGUUUUCAAUCUGCCUUCGGGGAAGGCACCUGGACCUGAUGGUUUCACGGCCGAUUUCUUCAAAUCAUGUUGGGACAUUGUAAAGGCUGACCUGAUCGCAACCCUGAAUCAAGUUUUCUCUUUGAGGGCCAAGCGCUGGAAGUUUCUCAAUCAGGCCUUCAUCACCCUGUUGCCGAAAUCUGCUGAUGCAUCCAGAGUGAAGGAUUUCCGGCCCAUUAGCCUCAUGCACUCCGUCGCAAAAAUUCUGUGCAAGCUGCUCGCCAACCGUCUCGCGCCCUUCCUGCAGCAGCUGGUGCCCUGCUCCCAGAGUGCUUUUAUCAAGACUCGAAGCAUCCAUGAUAACUUUCUGUAUGUCAAGAAUGCCGUCAGAUCCUUGCACAAAUCAAAGUCUGCUGCUCUGCUUCUCAAGCUGGAUAUUGCUGGUGCCUUCGACUCGGUCUCUUGGGGGUACAUGUUCGAGCUCAUGACCGUUAUGGGUUUUGGCCCUCGAUGGCGCAACCUCAUGGCUGUUUUGUGGAGCUCUGCCUCGUCCCGGGUCAUGGUCAACGGGGAGCUCGGGUUGAAUCUCUUCCACAUGCAGGGACUGCGUCAAGGAGAUCCCCUCUCCCCUAUGCUCUUCGCCAUCGCAAUCGCCCCGUUGCACUAG